rnacentral:RNase_P_RNA from 1 species
AGGAGUGGAAGGGCGGCCAACGGUGCUUUGCACCGAGGAAAUACCCCCCUCAUUCCCGGACCAGGGGCGUAAAAGCCAGGGCGAGAGCCCUGAUAGAGGCGCAGAAAAGCCACAGCCAGAGGUGAGGAUGAUUCCCUGAGGAUGACGUUGCUUCUGGAUUUGGUGAGACUGCUUCUACCCUGGAGCAAGUCCAAGCACCAGGAUCGGCUGCCCGGGACCGCCUGGGGGUAGGACGCUGAGACGAAUGCCGCCGAAACAGAAGGGGGAUUACUCUCCACACCU